AUUGAACGCUGGCGGCAGGCCUAACACAUGCAAGUCGAACGAGUGGCGGACGGGUGAGUAAUGUCUGGGAAACUGCCUGAUGGAGGGGGAUAACUACUGGAAACGGUAGCUAAUACCGCAUACCAUCAGAUGUGCCCAGAUGGGAUUAGCUAGUUGGUGGGGUAACGGCUCCCCAAGGCGACGAUCCCUAGCUGGUCUGAGAGGAUGACGAGCAACACUGGAUGGGAGACACGGGCCAGGCUCCUACGGGAGGCAGCAGUGGGGAUGAUGGCGCAAUGGGCGCAAGCCUGAUGCAGCCAUGCCGCGGAUGUGGAGAAGGCCUUGGGGUUGUAAAAUACUUUCAGCGGGGAGGCGUUACCCGCAGAAGAAGCACCGGCUAACUCCGUGCCAGCAGCCGCGGUAAUUC
rnacentral:rRNA from 1 species